GGUAGUCCACGCUGUAAACGAUGCUCACUAGAUGUGGGGGGUAUCGACCCCCUCCGCGUCGUCGCUAACGCAUUAAGUGAGCCGCCUGGGGACUACGGCCGCAAGGCUAAAACUCAAAGGAAUUGACGGGGGCCCGCACAAGCAGCGGAGCGUGUGGUUUAAUUCGAUGCGACGCGAAGAACCUUACCUGGGCUUGAACGUGCGGUGACAGUCGGUGAAAGCCGAUCUCCCUUCGGGGCACUGUGCGAGGUGCUGCACGGCUGUCGUCAGCUCGUGCCGUGAGGUGUUGGGUUAAG
rnacentral:rRNA from 1 species